rnacentral:rRNA from 1 species
UGGGGAAUAUUGCACAAUGGGGGAAACCCUGAUGCAGCAACGCCGCGUGAGCGAAGAAGUAUUUCGGUAUGUAAAGCUCUAUCAGCAGGGAAGAAAGUGACGGUACCUGAGUAAGAAGCCCCGGCUAACUACGUGCCAGCAGCCGCGGUAAUACGUAGGGGGCAAGCGUUAUCCGGAUUUACUGGGUGUAAAGGGAGCGUAGACGGCGGCGCAAGUCUGAUGUGAAAGCCUGGGGCUCAACCCCGGAACUGCAUUGGAAACUGUGCUGCUGGAGUGCCGGAGAGGUAAGCGGAAUUCCUAGUGUAGCGGUGAAAUGCGUAGAUAUUAGGAGGAACACCAGUGGCGAAGGCGGCUUACUGGACGGUAACUGACGUUGAGGCUCGAAAGCGUGGGGAGCAAACA